GCAAAUCCCAAAAAAGAGUCUCAGUUCAGAUUGUAGGCUGCAACUCGCCUACAUGAAGUCGGAAUUGCUAGUAAUCGCGGAUCAGCAUGCCGCGGUGAAUACGUUCCCGGGCCUUGUACACACCGCCCGUCACACCAUGAGAGCCGGUAACACCCGAAGUCAGUAGCCUAACCGCAGGGGGGGCGCUGCCGAAGGUGGGAUUGGUAAUUGGGGUGAAGUCGUAACAAGGUAUC
rnacentral:rRNA from 1 species